UCAUCUUGGCCGUCAAGACACGGAACUGCCCGGUCACCACGUGGCUCCCUCCUGCUGCCCUCUCGUGGCCACAGCCCCCUCCCUCCCCCCACCCACCUGGCCAGUGGGAUCCAGACUGUGCCUCCUCCCCAAUCCUCCAGUGUGGCUCCCCACCCUCCUGGGCUCAGCCGGAAGGCUCUUGGUGACGGGGACGGAUGUGACUCCUGAGUCACUGCUGACCACUGGCUCCGGCUCUCUCUGGCCCUCCUUUGACCCUCCUCCUGGCCUGUGGACCCCUCUCUGGAUGGCUGCAGGCCACCACCCCUUUCUCUGGUUCUCCCUUCACGCCUUGAUCCCCUGACAAAGGAGCCACUACUGCUCCCGCACCCACCUUGUGUCACCUCUGGGCACGCAGCCCGCAGGAUGGGAUGUGUUUCCCAGGAGUCUCUCUCUGUCCCCCUCUGUCUCUGUCUCCCUCUACCCCUGCAUCUCUCUCUCCCCCUCACUCCUGCAUCCCCAGCACAAAGUGGACGCCUGGUGUGAGUCAGCUCCCUGCUCUUCCCUCUGCCUCUCCUGAGCCUGCCUGGCUCUGCAUGGGGACACUGGAUGUGGGACAUGUGGACAAAGGACACGAGACACAGGGACUCGGGGACUUGUGUUUCCUCUCACCUCCUGUCCCCCUGCCCGUACCUGUGCCCUGCCAGCCCCUGGAGCUUCUUCCUCCUCCACUUUGUACCUCUGCAAGUUGGGCCCCGGGAAGUGGUCAGGGCCCUGGGAUGAGGUGGGAGCCCCUGGGGCUCCUGGGGGUACCUCCUGAAAGCAGCUGGGUGUGUUAGGGGGUCAAGGCUGUGAGUUGUCAGUCAAGGUGAUGUUUGGGGCUCCUGUGGCCUGGGCCACCAGCAGGGACAGAACAGCAGGUGACCAUUGGUUUACCCAGUGAUUUAGUCUCCAUGGAGCCUUGGCCCCUCAUUGGACUGUCACCACGGGCCUGGCAUUGCUGUUAUUGUCAUUUUACAGUUGAGGAGUUUGUGCCUGAGAGAGACAGAGUGAAGGAGGCAGAGAGAGGGAGAGGCCGGCGUGGGGGGACCGAAGGAGGAGGAGGUCCCUCGGCCUCAGAAUCCUUGCUGCCAGUAGGGGGCUGGCACAAUGUGCACAGUGAGCUGCAUCCCUAGAGGGUAGGCAAGCUUGGCCCUUAUGGAAGGGCUCUCUGGAGGGCUGCCUGAGGGUGGUGUGGAUGUGGAAGUGAUUGGCUGGGAACGUUAGGCCCUCCAGCCCAGGGAGACCGCUUGUGGGUAAGACGUGGGUAGGAGCAGGAAUGAGACUGGGGUCCCCGAGUCAGCACCCCGACCUGUGUGCCUUUGCUCAAGGGGUGCCCACCCCCACGCUGCCUUCCUCUGCCCUCCCUGUGCCUCCCUUUCUCCUGAGUGCUUGCUCCACCAAGGCACUGAGGCAUCCGCGCCAGGUCACUCGGCCACUUGGGGAAUCGGUGCCGUGGCUGGCCCCCGGGGGGCCGCAGUGGGUGAAGGCCCAUCCAUAAUGAGUGUAGGCUGGACCUUGACCUGCAGAGCAACUGGGCGAGGGGCCGUGGGAAUGAAGACUCUGCUGGAGAAGGCUGGGCCGGGACGGCAGGAGGAACUGUGGAGCGGCUGCAGCAGAGGUCCCAGGCUGGAUCUUCACAGCCCUCCUGGCCAAGGGCACGGAGCCUCAGUGUCAGGGUCCCUGCAGGCUGACAUCAUGCUGUUUGUAACGAAGCUGGACCGAUCAGAGGGGACACGAGCCAGGUCUCCUUGCCCGGUGUGGGCCCGGCCUUCUCAGCAGGCCUGUCUCUUGUCUUCAUUAGGCCCAUUGUCUCAGAGCUACGUGGGGACUGGUGGCACUUCCCUGAUUAUCACAGCAGGAUUCUGGUUUCCAGAACAGGGGAGCUGGGCCGACACCACCCGUGCAAGCUGGCAAGUUAAUAAGAUUUGCUUCUUUCUCGGAGUACCUGGUGUCAGUUUUGCUUUCAUGUAAAUAGGACAGUUGCUAUUGUCACCCUUGUACCACCUAUCUGUUGCCCCAGUAACAGCAGUCCACC
ensembl:lncRNA